rnacentral:rRNA from 1 species
AUUGAACGCUGGCGGCAUGCUUUACACAUGCAAGUCGGACGGAGCGGCGAACGGGUGAGUAAUGUAUCGGAACCUACCUAGUAAUGGGGGAUAACUGUCCGAAACGACAGCUAAUACCGCAUACUAUCAGAUGAGCCCAGGUCGGAUUAGCUAGUUGGUGGGGUAAAGGCUUACCAAGGCGACGAUCCGUAACUGGUCUGAGAGGAUGAUCAGUCACACUGGAACUGAGACACGGUCCAGACUCCUACGGGAGGCAGCAGUGGGGAAUAUUGGACAAUGGGCGAAAGCCUGAUGCAGCCAUGCCGCGUGUGUGAAGAAGGUCUUCGGAUUGUAAAGCACUUUAAGUUGGGAGGCGUUAAUCACAGAAGAAGCACCGGCUAACUCCGUGCCAGCAGCCGCGGUAAUUC